AUUGAACGCUGGCGGCAUGCUUUACACAUGCAAGUCGAACGGCAGCGGGGUAGUGCUUGCACUACUGCCGGCGAGUGGCGAACGGGUGAGUAAUAUAUCGGAACGUACCGAGUAAUGGGGGAUAACCAAUCGAAAGAUUGGCUAAUACCGCAUACGUCCUGAGGGAGAAAGCGGGGGAUCGCAAGACCUCGCGUUAUUCGAGCGGCCGAUAACUGAUUAGCUAGUUGGUGGGGUAAAGGCCUACCAAGGCGACGAUCAGUAGCGGGUCUGAGAGGACGAUCCGCCACACUGGGACUGAGACACGGCCUAGACUCCUACGGGAGGCAGCAGUGGGGAAUUUUGGACAAUGGGGGCAACCCUGAUCCAGCCAUGCCGCGUGUAUGAAGAAGGCCUUCGGGUUGUAAAGUACUUUUGUUAGGGAAGAAAAGGGAAGUGCUAAUACCACUUUUUGCUGACGGUACCUAAAGAAUAAGCACCGGCUAACUACGUG
rnacentral:rRNA from 1 species